rnacentral:lncRNA from 1 species
CUUAAACAAUUUUUUUUGUAUGCUACUUUUACUAAAGGUCAUCAUGCUUGGUUGUAUGAAGAACUGAUGAAUUUACUCAUUAAGGAACUAAAGUUUGUGGACAUUAAAGGAGUUGUCCCUGGUUAUCUAGUUAGAAGGUGGUGGAACAUGAUAAAGAAGUCAUCCCUCUCACUUUUAGAGUGUAGGUGCCCUGAAAGCAGGCCCUAAGACUACAUACUGCUCACUGUUGUAUCUCCAGCACCCAGCAUCUUGCAUGGCAUAUUAUAGGUAGUUGCUAUGUAUUUAAAGAAUGAAAGAACCUGAUACUGUAGCCAAUUACUUAUGGAUGCACCUCAAUUUGGAAAACCAUCAGUUUUAAUCUACAGGUACUAGAAUGCUUUCUUGAUCAUUUCCCAAUACUCUUAUUAUUUUCCUUUUCCAUUCCUACUGUGGUCUUAUUUAUGCUUGGACCUUGAUUAUUUUAUUCAUCUGCCAUUUGCAAUCUGUUGUACAGGAUUCAGAGUGAAACUUUCCUCUUAUUGAUGCCUCUGAAAUUGGCGUAAGUCUCUCUGGGCUUUCUAGAUUCCAGAUCUUGAAGAUAUUAGUGGAUAAUCUGGGAAAACACUUCAAUUAAUUAAGUAGAUAUGUAUUAUGGUCUUUGAUUUAUAAGUUAUUUAUAAAUAACAGACACAAGUAAAGACAGAUUUGUUCAGUUGGCUGAAGAAGUGGAAAGGGGAUGUGACUAAGAUGAAUAGAGUCAUGAGUGGACAAAAGAUGAGUAGAAUGAGAUAAAUUUAUAUUUAAAAAUACUCUGCUGAAGUUUUUCAGUCAAUCCAAGGGAAGCAAUAAUUUAUGCAAUAAUAGCUGAUCUCACUAAGUGCAAGAAGAAAUGUAGGUUAAAAAUAUAGAUUCACAAGUUUGCUAAGUUUCUGGAGUCCUAAGCCAUACUGAGUUGGUGGGGUAAGAUACUUUAAAUUAGAGUAAUGGAAUUUAAAAGGAAUGAUCUAUAACUUGGAUAUUGACAAUGGUGUAUUGGGAUGUCUAAUAACA